rnacentral:rRNA from 1 species
UUAGCGGCGGACGGGUGAGUAACACGUGGAUAACCUACCUAUAAGACUGGGAUAACUUCGGGAAACCGGAGCUAAUACCGGAUAAUAUUUUGAACCGCAUGGUUCAAAAGUGAAAGACGGUCUUGCUGUCACUUAUAGAUGGAUCCGCGCUGCAUUAGCUAGUUGGUAAGGUAACGGCUUACCAAGGCAACGAUGCAUAGCCGACCUGAGAGGGUGAUCGGCCACACUGGAACUGAGACACGGUCCAGACUCCUACGGGAGGCAGCAGUAGGGAAUCUUCCGCAAUGGGCGAAAGCCUGACGGAG